rnacentral:rRNA from 1 species
GACGAACGCUGGCGGCGUGCUUAACACAUGCAAGUCGAACGGAAAGGCCCUUCGGGGUACUCGAGUGGCGAACGGGUGAGUAACACGUGGGUGAUCUGCCCUGCACUUUGGGAUAGGCCUGGGAAACUGGGUCUAAUACCGAAUAGGACCACGCGCUUCAUGGUGUGUGGUGGAAAGCUUUUGCGGUGUGGGAUGGGCCCGCGGCCUAUCAGCUUGUUGGUGGGGUAAUGGCCUACCAAGGCGACGACGGGUAGCCGGCCUGAGAGGGUGACCGGCCACACUGGGACUGAGAUACGGCCCAGACUCCUACGGGAGGCAGCAGUGGGGAAUAUUGCACAAUGGGCGCAAGCCUGAUGCAGCGACGCCGCGUGAGGGAUGACGGCCUUCGGGUUGUAAACCUCUUUCACCAGGGACGAAGCGUAAGUGACGGUACCUGGAGAAGAAGCACCGGCCAACUACGUG